CUCUCUCUCUCUCUCUCUCUCUCUCUGCCCCUCCCUCGCUCAUCCUCUGUCUGUCAAAAAUAAAUAAUCAUUAAAAAAAAUUUAAAAAAAGAAAUUGUGAGCAGGAGAUGUGACACCAUCAGAGAACAGCUGAGGUGGGAGCACAGCAUACUCUGCACCCUCUCAAUUUAAACAUCAUGUUAAAAUGGUUUAUUGUUUUGAUUAAAAAUUUAGUGAGCUAUUAGAGGAACUAUUGGGCCAGAGUUCAGAUAGUGAGGGAUGCCUGCACAGCUAACAGUGUUAAUGUUAUUUACUGGUUUCAAAUAAACUUGUUAACAAGUUUGUAAAUUUGAACUAUAAAAUAUUAAGCCUGGGAAACAAAGGUUAACCAAAGAAUGUAAAAUCAAGUCUCCCAGUUAUAGGCCAGAGAACAGUGAUACAAUAUUAAACUUGGUUACUUACAAAAUGUAGUGAAGAAGAUUCUAGAAGUGGAAUCAGAAGAUUUUUGGCUUCUGGGUCUCAUCCAUGUGACCAUAGACAAGCAGUUAACUGUGCCCUAGUUUCUUCAUUUGUAGGAUUAGGUAGUUGAUGUAUGUUGCUAAGGUAUAUUCUAAGUUCAGAGUUCUGGGGUUCUAUGAGAACUAUUAGAAGGGAAGAUUAGUGUGGACUAGCAUUCUUAAGUGUCUGGCUUGAUUUAUUUAGUUACCUAUUUAUUUUCUUAUUUGUUUAUUUUAGGUAUCUUACUUUAAAGUAGACCUUGAAAGUUUAGUAGGAUUUCUAAAUAUUUCAGCCUCUUUUAGCUCAAUUAGGUGGCUGCUUUGGGGAGACUUCCCACCCCACCCCAAGUCUGCCUUGACUAUUUAAAUGUUCAUAAGGUGUGGUUGGAAUUAAGUUCUUCGGCUUUGGGCUGUAAAGCACCGAAUAGGCAGGCAGAGAGGACAUUUUGAAAGUGGAGUAAACAAAAGUUUAUGCGUUGGGUUAUGGCAUGAAUCUCAUGUUUGGAGAACAGUGAAUAAACGGACAUGACCACAUUGGAAGUCUCCUGUCUCGUGUGCACAGUGGCUUUUCUAGGGGCUGUACUACAGUGACAGACAGCACACUACACUGAAUGCAGAAGCAGACGUGGAUCCAACUGUCUUCUAUUAAGGCAGGCGUUAAAAUAUUUGCAAGAAUUAAAUCUGCCAUUCUCCUCGCCAAUUAUUGUUUUUUUUGUAAAAGAACUAUUAACCUAUCACGGGUUUAUUAUUUCCAGAUAAAUGAAGAUCUUUAAAUGUU